AACGAACGCUGGCGGCAUGCCUAACACAUGCAAGUCGAACGAGACCUUCGGGUCUAGUGGCGCACGGGUGCGUAACGCGUGGGAACCUGCCCUUAGGUUCGGAAUAACUUCCCGACAGGGGUGCUAAUACCGGAUAAUGUCUUCGGACCAAAGAUUUAUCGCCUUUGGAUGGGCCCGCGUUGGAUUAGCUAGUUGGUAGGGUAAAAGCCUACCAAGGCGACGAUCCAUAGCUGGUCUGAGAGGAUGAUCAGCCACACUGGGACUGAGACACGGCCCAGACUCCUACGGGAGGCAGCAGUGGGGAAUAUUGGACAAGGGGCGAAAGCCUGAUCCAGCAAUGCCGCGUGAGUGAUGAAGGCCUUAGGGUUGUAAAGCUCUUUUACCCGGGAUGAUAAUGACAGUACCGGGAGAAUAAGCUCCGGCUAACUCCGUG
rnacentral:rRNA from 1 species